GGGGGGGGGGGGGGGGGGGGGGGGGGGGGGGGGGGGGGGGGGGGGGGCCGGCGGUGGGGGGGGGCGCGAGGGGCGAGCGGGUGAGGGACCCGUGAGUAGCCUGCCCUUGGCUGUGGGAUAACGGCGGGGACCUGGGGCUAAUCCCGGGUCGGAGCGCCUGCUGCCUGGGGGGGGUUGGAAAGUUUCGGCGGGUGGGGAUGGACUCGCGGCUUAUCAGCUUGUUGGUGGGGUAGUUGCUUACCAAGGCUUUGACGGGUAGCCGGCCUGAGAGGGGGACCGGCCACAUUGGGACUGAGAUACGGCCCAGACUCCUACGGGAGGCAGCAGUGGGGAAUAUUGCACAAUGGGCGGAAGCCUGAUGCAGCAACGCCGCGUGCGGGAUAACGGCCUUCGGGUUGUAAACCGCUUUCGCCUGUGACGAAGCGUGAGUGACGGUAAUGGGUAAAGAAGCACCGGCUAACUACGUG
rnacentral:rRNA from 1 species